UGGGGAAUAUUGCACAAUGGGGGAAACCCUGAUGCAGCGACGCCGCGUGAACGAAGAAGUAUUUCGGUAUGUAAAGUUCUAUCAGCAGGGAAGAUAAUGACGGUACCUGACUAAGAAGCACCGGCUAAAUACGUGCCAGCAGCCGCGGUAAUACGUAUGGUGCAAGCGUUAUCCGGAUUUACUGGGUGUAAAGGGAGCGCAGGCGGUGCGGCAAGUCAGAUGUGAAAUCCCCAGGCUCAACCUGGGAACUGCAUUUGAAACUGUUGGUCUUGAGUAUCGGAGAGGUAAUCGGAAUUCCUUGUGUAGCGGUGAAAUGCGUAGAUAUAAGGAAGAACACCAGUGGCGAAGGCGGAUUACUGGACGACAACUGACGGUGAGGCGCGAAAGCGUGGGGAGCAAACAGGAUUAGAUACCCUGGUAGU
rnacentral:rRNA from 1 species